CCUACGGGGGGCUGCAGUAAGGAAUAUUGGUCAAUGGAGGAAACUCUGAACCAGCCAUCCCGCGUGAAGGAUGAAGGGGCUCUGCCUUGUAAACUUCUUUUGUCUGGGGCGAAAAAGCUCGAUUUAUCGAGAACUGACGGUACCAGAAGAAUAAGCACCGGCUAACUCCGUGCCAGCAGCCGCGGUAAUACGGAGGGUGCAAGCAUUACCCGGAAUAACGGGGUUUAAAGGGUCCUAGGGAGUCUUUGUAGAAAGGCUUGGGCUUAACCAUGGAAUUGCCAUUGAUACUGCAGAGCUUGAAUGAGGUUGAGGUUGGCGGAAUGUGACAUGUAGCGGUGAAAUGCUUAGAUAUGUCAUGGAACACCGAUUGCGAAGGCAGCUGACUGGACCUAUAUUGACGCUGAGGCACGAAAGCGUGGGGAGCGAACAGGAUUAGAUACCCGGGUAGUC
rnacentral:rRNA from 1 species